GCCCCGGAUCUUCAAUUUUUUUUAGGCGGGGCAAAAACUGAAAAAUGCCGCCCCGCCUUCCUACCUACUUAUGUUUAUUUUCACCAACGAAAGUCACUUUUUUGGUAGGUAAAUGACUUAAAAAAAGUGUCCAAAUCAUUGUAGGCUCAAACUGUUGGCCGGGUUUAAGUUAUGAAAGUCGAGACAGAAUAAUGCAAUUAUUGUAAAAAUUUGCGCGAACGAAAGUAGCGCGCAAAUUUUUUAAUUUUGGGACACAAAAAGCAAAUAAA